UCUUUCCUGCUUGCUUGGCUGCUUUGGGGCUCUACCCUCAGCAGCGGCCUGGGAUGCCCGGUGGUCCCUUCUUGGACAGAGGAUGCCCACCUCUUGUCAUCUUUUUAGACUAUGGCAAGUUUUAGGGUUCUCAAAAAGGGAAGAAUUUUUUCCAGGAGGAGGAGGUCAAGGGUGUGAAACCUAUCUCAGAAAGGGGAGACCGCUGGGACUGCUACUUGGAGGUCUUAUCUACAUCUCUAGGAAAACUCUGUGGCUGCCACUGUCCCUGAUGCCCAGGCCUUGACUGUGCACAGCUCUAUGUCAGCUUCAACUGUCCAGACCCCUUCAAGUUUCUUCUUUGUGCAUGGAUCUUGUGUUUCUGUUCUUUCAUAAAUUCAGUAUGAUCCUUUUUCUGUUCA